CAAUAGCGUAUACUAACGUUGUUGCAGUUAAAAAGCUCGUAGUUGGAUUUCUGAAGGUGGUUGGAUUGGUGUGACCUCGCGUUGCCUCAACCAUACUAUUUUCAACAUAUGCGAUGAAUUGGUGUGGUUAAUUAAGUUUGAUCCGCCAUUAAAUCGCUCGUUUACUUUGAGAAAAUUAGAGUGUUCAAAGCAGGCAUAACGCCUUGAAUGUGUUAGCAUGGAAUAAUAGCAUAGGACUUUGGUUCUAUUUGUUGGUUGUUCGAGAACCGGAGUAAUGAUUGAUAGGGACGGUUGGGGGCAUCUGUAUUCUCAAGCGAGAGGUGAAAUUCUUGGACCUUGGGAAGACGAACAGCUGCGAAAGCGUUUGCCUAGGACGUUCUCUUUAA
rnacentral:rRNA from 1 species